rnacentral:rRNA from 1 species
UACGUAGGGGCCAAGCGUUGUCCGGAUUUAUUGGGCGUAAAGAGCUCGUAGGCGGUUCGGCAAGUCAGCUGUGAAAAUCUCCACGCUCAACGUGGAGGGGGUCAGCUGAUACUGCUGUGACUUGAGUCCCGGUAGGGGGAGUGUGGAAUUCCCGGUGUAGCGGUGAAAAUGCGCAGAUAUCGGGAGGAACACCCAGUAGCGAAGGGCGGCACUCUGGGGCCGGUACUGACGCUGAGGAGCGAAAAGCGUGGGGGAGCAAACAGG